CGUAAUUACCUUUUAAAGGCCCACUAUGCAACUUUUUUAGCCAAAAUUACAUUAAGUAUGCAGGUUGAGAGUUAUGCUGAUGGUUCUGCAUCCAUUUCUGGGUCGAUUGGUGGGUGUGUCAUUUACCCAUGUCGCCUCUCCAGUGAAAAAGCGCAUAUGCAACUUGAUCUGUUCGGACCGACACAAUCCGGAUGUGACGCAGCGGAAGUAUCCUCGAAAAUGUAGUCAGAUUGUAGUUUCGAAAAUGCUUUACGGCACAGACACACACCCAAACAUGGCACCGGCUAGAUAUAAACAGCCAGUUGCGAGGCAAUUGUUGCAUUCAUCAUGGAUCAAUCGACUAAUGAUCAGCCGACUAAAAAGAGACAGAGAAACCCAAUGUCGGAGGAACAGAAGAAGAGAAAAGGGAGAAGGACCGACAGAGAGGCCAGACACGAGUCAACGUUGGUCAAGCUUUUUUUUGACCUUUUUUUUUUUUAAAUUGUUUUCUCGACCGUUUUGUUGUGAGCCCUGUAUGUUUCCAGGAACAAGAACCUGUUUCCCGAAUCCAGGUUCUUGUUUAUUUAGAUUAUUAUGUUGGCCAACACUCUCACACUGAUUGUUCUGUUCAACCUAAGAUAAAACAAUUAUAAUCUAGGAUAUAAAUUCUCCCCGUCAACUAUAAAAAGGAUGGCUUUAUGUUUAUUGCAAUACAAAUACACCAUUUUAAAAAUGUAUAACCUUGCCUACACUUUAUGAACAUUUACUUCGGACAUGGCUCCACGCAUUCGCCGGCUUCUUUGAAAACAAAUGCACAUGGCUCGCGUAGAAGUGCAUGGGGAAGGGUCGUCAACGAGUUGUUACGACAGUGUUGUAAAAUAUCUACUACGAAGCUGUAGGGGGCGCUGUGUAGAGAAAUGUGCGUGCCAAAACCAAGAAAACAGCGAAGAAAUUCCCGAAGUUGCAUAGUGGGCCUUUAAGGCCUUAUUUAAAGUAGCUGUGGCCAUUGCGCAUCAGUAUGGCUUAUGUCCCUGCUGUGGCUGGUAUAGCGUCAACUAUGUGAGUAGCAUUUUGAUGGAUGGACAGAGACCCCUUUUGUACGGGGUUCCA
rnacentral:lncRNA from 1 species